rnacentral:rRNA from 1 species
CAUGCCGCGUGCAGGAUGAAGGCCUUCUGGGUUUGUAAACUGCUUUUAUCAGAGUAAGAAACCACAGAUUUCUAUAUUCGUGCCAGACUGGUACCUGAGUGAAUAACGCGCCGUGGCUAACUCCAGUGCCCAGCAGCUCGCCGGUAAUAUCGGAUGGGUGCAGUGCAGUUAUCCAGGAUUCACUAAGGUUUAAAAGGGUGUGUAGGCAGGGCUUGUAAGUCAGAGGUGAAAUCUCCGAGCUCAACUUGGAAACAUGCUUGGAUACUAUAGGUCUUGAAUAUCGUUGAGGUAGGCGGAAUAUGUCAUGUAGCGGUGAAAUGCUUAGAUAUGACAUAGAACACCGAUUGCGAAGGCAGCUUGCUAAACGAUUAUUGACGCUGAGGCUCGAAAGUGUGGGGAUCAAACAGGAUUAGAUACCCUGGUAGUCCACACUGUAAACGAUGAUUACUCGCUGCUGAGGGGUGACCUUCAGUGGCUUAGCGAAAGCGAUAAGUAAUCCACCUGGGGAGUACGCCGGGAACGGUGAAACUCAAAGGAAUUGACGGGGGCCCGCACAAGCGGAGGAGCAUGUGGUUUAAU